AGUUUUCCUCCCUAUCCUCAAGCUCCAGCCAGGUUGCAGCGUGUGUGAGGGUGGUAAAUCUUCUGUCCACACCAGUGUUCACCUCUCCCCUUCCCAAGUUUGCCCAGUCCCUAGGUGGUGACCAUCGUCAGCAGUUAGUCCACCUCGCCGUGACCAGGUAACUUUCAAAGUUUCCUUAGCCGAGCUAUACAUGUUUUGUGCUCUACAUCAGAUAGUGAAGCUCAUAUGAUGAUGAACAAAUCUCCUUAAGACAGUCUUGUUGGAUGCUAUAUGAAAAUUGGAGUAACAGCUGCUCAAAUCUAGACUGUCUGGCGGCUGAAACUGAAUUGUAUUCAGUCCACUGUGACUGAAAUUCAGCACAAGGGUGUCUAGUUUGGAGCCCUAUGGUAAUUAGUGCAAGGCAAUUUGGGUUAGGAAUUCUUUAGCAAACUGAAAGGACAUAUAUAGGAGAACAAAUUCCCUAAAGAGGGUUGGACUUGGUGCUACACAAAAAGAGGAGUUAAAGUGGCUCCAAGUUGUGCUGUCCGACUGGAGAUAUGUAAAUUUAGUUAACUGUUGCUAGCAGUUUGAGUUAGUUUUUACCCAACUUUGGAGCCUUGUGGUAAUUACUCCAAGGGGAAAUGGGUUAGGGAUUCCACAUCCAGAUAAAAGACCACAUCAAGGACAACAAGUUUCAUUCAAGGAAUGGGCUUGCUACUGUAUAAGUUGGCAGUAAAAAGGUGUCCCAAACUUCUCUGCCAGAGUGGGUGCAGUGCUGUUUCAGUUCACUGAAACUGAACUUUUUUGUGAUUUUGCUCUAUUUUGUGGCAUCAUAACUUUUGAUUAGUAUGGUUUCAGUCUGGGGAUGCUAUGCCAAAGUAGUAGAGCUAUGUCUAGAGAAUAACUUGGAGUAAAUGAGUUGUGUUUGUUGUUGAGGGAAUUUGUGAGUUACAAAGCACUGAACAGAGAGAGAGGAAUGGAGCACUAAAAGAUGAAUUCAGAGAACUGAAAAUAGGUUCAAUGAAUUGUGGCUGAUUCUUGGACACUAUAAAUUGUAGUACAUGCAGUUUGGAUCCUUGCUUAAUGCAUAAAUAAAGUACUUGGUUGGUUAUGGAGGCAAGGUUUCCUAGUUUGGUUGGUGAAUUGAGUUGUGAUAUUAGAGUAUUUAGCUCUCUUAAGGUUUUGUUAGUUUUUGUAUGCACCUUUAGAGAGGUGUAAGUCCUGUGAUGCUUCUUAGUAUUUUCUUUUCAAGUUGCAUAAGCAUAAACAUCCAUGAUCAUGUUAUUUCAUAUAGAACUCCCAGCACAAGGACUGAAGCUUCAAGCUGAAGUGGUGACUGAAGAGGAAUCUACUCCAGUGGCUGCUGAUCAAGUGGAGGAGCCAUCUAACUGGGUAGCUUGUAGAGGGAUCUAGACCUCUUCACUGCAACAAAGGCAAGCCCCGGUGCAUGCAACCCCUUCCUUGUGUUUUUAAAUAAUUUUUGCACACUUUAAGUCUAGUGAAAUGUGCAUUAGGUUUAUAGGAGUUGCUGGAAACCCUUUGAUGCAUUGCCUUCCUUGAUAUCCAUACCUUUAUAGAUACUUCUGGUGAAGUAUCAAAAUAUGAUUUUCAAAAAUGCUUAGCCCUGCUUAGAUCUUGUGGAUAGAGGUUGUCUUUUGCAAUACUGCCUAGCUCAGGGGUUAUCCUGAGGAAAGAUGACUUCUACCUGCAAGAAUAUUUUCAUUGAGAGCGUGGUGGGAUCUUACUGCAAAGUUCCCUUUGAUGCUCUUUUCAUCCUAGAAACAUAAACAAUCCUAAGGAUGAAAGUACUUAAAUCGGGACUUGGGCUAGGAACAGGUGAUGUUCUACCCAGGUUAGUUAAGGAUUGGAUGCAUAUGUAGGCCUGUUGAUCAAGGACUAUCUUAACUAGCCACAUGCCCUGGAAAUGGGACAGGGUAAGCUUGAACCCGGCUAUUCCAUACAUGAAAAGACAAUCGCGCACUGGGAGUGGAGAGAUGGCGAGAGUGGCACGUACCCUCCUGGCAAAGGAUCGCCUAAAAGGGGUGGUGUGCUCUCGGGUGGCGUGGACCUGUUCAUGUAGUGGAGGAUCCGUGGGAACGGUUGACAUAUGCAAGGGUUAAGUGCUACAUAUGUCGUGUGGUUAGAGAUCCUCGGCUGAGUAAAUCGAUUCGGAUCGCCGUUAUAUCCCCGGAGAGUGGAGACUUGAUCUCCGACCUACAACCUAAGUCAGGAUGUAAACAUUAUGAAUAAAAAUGAUGUUGUAUUGAUGAGAUGGUGAAAUUAGACCAGAUGCAAAUAGAGUCUAUUAAUAUUUAAUCUGGCGUUAAAAUAUUGAAAGUAAGGACUCACUUUAGUAAGCUAUUUCUGCAAAAGUAUCUAAGUUGAUUCUUGCUAAAGCCUCUCCUUGAUUCCCAAAUCCAGCAUAUCCUUGAGAGUCUUUUCUUUAGUCGGGUAAGUCUUGCUGAGUAAUUCCAUACUCAGGGUUUUAUUCCCUGUUGUUUUUCAGGUUAUAGUUUUGUGCUGAUGUUGAUGGUGUUAAGUGCCGGUGGGCUCGGCCUUCUUAUAUAAGUAUACCCCAUCUUUAUCUUCUUAUUGAGGAUGGUCACUUGAGCUAGCAUAUAUUUUAAACUUAUAAAUAAUUUAUAACAGUUUAAAGUUAUUUCUUUGAAUCACCUUUGUAAUCACCCCGGUCAUGUACAAUGUAAAAUUUUUGUAACCUGUAAAAUUUGGUACUAAGAUUUCCGCUGCAAAAAUGUUGUGUGUGUGAUUUGUGUUACUUAAUCCCGCGGUUCUGGUUGUAAGUGGUUUAUCCGAGGUCCUUGGGGCACUCAGACGGAUCCUGUUAAGUUAUUUGGUACACAUGCAUAGCCGUCUGAGGUCUUUGAGACAAGGACAGGUGCAUGUGGGCCCAAUAGCUUGGGAGGUUCUGCCACAGCUGGUAUCGGAGCUGGAUUAAGUAUAUACGGUCACAUACGUAUUUUUAAAACAAAAGUUUUGGUUUUGAAAAACCUAUUUUCAACUAAACACAUUGUUUGGCUUUGAAAAACAGUUUUGAAAAACUAUAAUGCUAGCGACAUCCUCUGUUAAGCCCUAAGUUAAGGACUAUAAGGUGGCUUAGUUUAGGAUGCUAACCACUAAUCCACAACUAUAAUGCAACUUUCUGCAGGUACACUAACUAAACCCUAGGAAAGUACGACUAGUGUUCAAUGACGGAGUGAGUAGGUAUGCCACCGUCAUAGAACGUGAUAGCCACUAUAUGUUGGCAAGAAUUAUGAGGACGAAUAGGACGAGCAUGCAUCAUGACAUACAAUUUUAAGUUAAACCCCCUAUGUAGUAGCUUAGUACAUGUUUCAUCCAUCUUAUUCAUGCUAUCUAUCUUUGCUUUUCUAUACUACCUUUUCCUAUUCGUGAAGCCUUGAGACUCAGUUCAUUUCGUGGACCUGUAGUUUAUAAGGUACAGUUGCCAAAGAAUUUGUCAACAGUGCACAACAUGUUCUACGUGUCCUAGUUAAAGAAAUGUUUUCGAGUCCUCAAGCAUGUUAUUGAGAUUGCAGAUGUUAACCUUGGACCAGAUUUAACCUACUUGGAAUAUCACAUAAAGGUGUUGGAUCUAAAGGAUCGGGUCACUCGAAGAAAAUUUAUCAAGUUUUGUAAGCUACAGUGGAACCAACACCCGGAAGAUAAACCAUAUGGGAACCAGAGGAGUAUUUAGAAAAACAUUUUCCUGAGUUCCUAGGUUCUCGUAAGUCCUAGGAUUUGUGUAGUUUGUCUUUGGUAUGAACCAAUAGGGGCACACCCCUGCUUUGUAGGAGUAAUGGGGAAAUAAGCCAGUGACGCAUUUCCUUUUCCAUUAUCUAGCCUAGAGUUUUAAAUCUCGGGACGAGAUUUCUUUUUAGGGGGGAAGGCUGUAACACCUCUGGUGUUACGUAAACUAAAACUCUGACAUGUCAUCAUAAGCAUCUGCAUUAAUGUGCUUGUUACACCUAGAAUGCAUUCACUAGGUUAAACUUUUUCAAAAGUGUGAUGUUGUGUGUUGGGUUUAGAGUUUAGUCUAAGGACUUGGCUUAAGCUAAACAGGGGUAGGUCAUCUCUUAAGCAAGUAACAAGUUGACUUGGAGUCUUAAAUGUUAAAGGUAAGUCUUAUAGCCUAGAGUAGACUUGUUUUGGAAUGAUGGUCAAGUGGAAGAAGCGCUUAAGAAGCUGGAAUAACUCCAAACCUUAACUUGAGCUUUGCUUGGAAUAGAUGGUUAAGUAAAGGAAAUUCUAAACCAGAACAUUUUGGAUAUGAGCUAUGUGUAUCAAAGAUUGGAUCUUAGACUAGAGAGUAACCUUGUUUCUGAUGGAUGGAUCAAAGGGAUGAAUCCUUGGAAGAAGCUGAAAUACAAAUGAAACUCAUUUGAAAUCCUAAAACUAGCCCAAAAGAGGAAUUCUAAAAUCUGGAAAUAAUUUGACAAAAGUCCAUAUAUCAAAGUUGUGGAGCUUGGAAAAGUGGAUAUGUUUCUUAUUUGGAGAUUCCUAAGUUGUGUGGAAGAAUUUGGAGUUAAGUACAAAAAUUCAGUUUUGGGUUCAUUUUAGAAUUGCUGAAAAUAAUAUAAACUAGACAACUUUGGACUCUUGUAACUUCUGAUCUAGAACCAUUUUGAAGAUGAUCAUUAUAACAAAGUUAUAGAGCUACAUGAGGAGUUUAAGUUUGGUUAAGUCAUAUAGCUCUAAAACUAUAUGGAACUUUGAGUAAAACUGGUCCAAAUAAAGCUGUCAAAAAUUGUGGAUUUCAGACUUAGUGAAAUUCAGAUUCUGAAUUUCAGCAAUUGGAGCAAACUUUGGGCUAUUGUAGUUUGGAAUUUAAGAGGUUUUGGUUAAUGGUCACUAUAUCAAACUUGUAGAGGAACUAGAGGAGUAUAAACUUUAUUAAGAAACUUGACCCUAAAAACAUUUGGAACCUAGAAAAAAGAGUGGUUCCAAGUGGUGCUGCUUUACUUCUGAAUUUUCAGAUUGAAAACAGUAACUGAAACUGAGUUUCAGUGUUUUGAUAGCAGUUUUGAAGCCUAUUUGUGGCUACUCUAUAAGGUUUUGUGUUAUGGUGUUUGUAAAAUAAGUGAAGACCAUAUAAUGUGGAACAACUUUCUUAUAGGGUGGUGGACCUGAUCCCAUACAAAAAGUGCAGAAAUAGUUGCUCAAAGAUUGGAUUGUCAGGUUGGUUAAUAACUGAAUUUUUAUUCAGUUCUGAACCCUGAAUGGCAGCAAGUUGCCCAGUUUGGAGCUCUAUGAUAAUUAAUCUACGGAGAUUUUGGUUAAGCGUUUUGUAGUAAAGUCAAAGUCCAUAUGAAGGGGAACAUGUCUCUUGAAGUGAGUGGGCCUGGUACUGUACAAGGUUGUGAGUAAAAUUGCUCCCAAACUUGCCCUGUCAGAAUUAGUGUAUGCCGUUUCAGACCUCUAAAACUGAAUUUUCAGUGUUUUUCUUUAGACUUUGGAGCUAGUUGAUGGUUGAUCCAAGGGGUAAAAGCUUAAGGGUUCUGUGGAGGAAUCAUAGAGGGUUGUUUGGUGGACAAGUUUUAUUUAACUUGCUCUCCCUGUUAUUACGAGAAAUUGAGAAGUUGAAGGGGGUUAACAGGGAGGUACGCAACAAGACAAUAGAGCUGAUGAGGCUGAUUCAGAAUUGGGUUCAGAUUCUGUUCAAGUAACUGAAGAAGAUCUGUCUUCCUUGUUGUGUUUAUAUUUGAGUGAAGGGGUAGAGAUAAGGAUUAAAUGCAUAGCUUAGAAGUUUGGGGCUCACUCUGUACUGAAAUAUCCAGUUUUGGACUGUUUGAAGGCAGUGAACAGGGAGACUUUAUCUGUUAGCCUUGGAUGGAUUGAGCUGGGCAGCAAAGUAACUCUAGUGGCUACCCCAUUAGAAAUAUCAAGUCUUGGACAUCUUUGUGCUUAGCCACAAGUGGUGUUCUCAGCCACACGCCUGCCUGUCUGUGUUCACUGAAUAAGGUUGAUAUUUUGGGCUGUUAGAGCAUAUCCACAAGGGAUAUUUGUGUGCUAGCUGUCCAGAUUCAGUGUCUAUAUUGUGCCUGUCAGUUUGUGAGUAUUUGAUGCAUGAAAGCCACGUAUUGGAGCCCAGGUUGUGCUGGCAUCUCUGGGAACUCUUCACCUCCAUGCACUGCACAGGUUUAGUGACAUCUGUCCUUCAUCUGUGGCUAUAAAACUUGGUCCAGGGAAGUUUUCCUCCCUAUCCUCAAGCUCCAGCCAGGUUGCAGCGUGUGUGAGGGUGGUAAAUCUUCUGUCCACACCAGUGUUCACCUCUCCCCUUCCCAAGUUUGCCCAGUCCCUAGGUGGUGACCAUCGUCAGUAGUUAGUCCACCUCGCCGUGACCAGGUAACUUUCAAAGUUUCCUUAGCCGAGCUAUACAUGUUUUGUGCUCUACAUCAGAUAGUGAAGCUCAUAUGAUGAUGAACAAAUCUCCUUAAGACAGUCUUGUUGGAUGCUAUAUGAAAAUUGGAGUAACAGCUGCUCAAAUCUAGACUGUCUGGCGGCUGAAACUGAAUUGUAUUCAGUCCACUGUGAACUGAAAUUCAGCACAAGGGUGUCUAGUUUGGAGCCCUAUGGUAAUUAGUGCAAGGCAAUUUGGGUUAGGAAUUCUUUAGCAAACUGAAAGGACAUAUAUAGGAGAACAAAUUCCCUAAAGAGGGUUGGACUUGGUGCUACACAAAAAGAGGAGUUAAAGUGGCUCCAAGUUGUGCUGUCCGACUGGAGAUAUGUAAAUUUAGUUAACUGUUGCUGGCAGUUUGAGUUAGUUUUUACCCAACUUUGGAGCCUUGUGGUAAUUACUCCAAGGGGAAAUGGGUUAGGGAUUCCACAUCCAGAUAAAAGACCACAUCAAGGACAACAAGUUUCAUUCAAGGAAUGGGCUUGCUACUGUAUAAGUUGGCAGUAAAAAGGUGUCCCAAACUUCUCUGCCAGAGUGGGUGCAGUGCUGUUUCAGUUCACUGAAACUGAACUUUUUUGUGAUUUUGCUCUAUUUUGUGGCAUCAUAACUUUUGAUUAGUAUGGUUUCAGUCUGAGGAUGCUAUGCCAAAGUAGUAGAGCUAUGUCUAGAGAAUAACUUGGAGUAAAUGAGUUGUGUUUGUUGUUGAGGGAAUUUGUGAGUUACAAAGCACUGAACAGAGAGAGAGGAAUGGAGCACUAAAAGAUGAAUUCAGAGAACUGAAAAUAGGUUCAAUGAAUUGUGGCUGAUUCUUGGACACUAUAAAUUGUAGUACAUGCAGUUUGGAUCCUUGCUUAAUGCAUAAAUAAAGUACUUGAUUGGUUAUGGAGGCAAGGUUUCCUAGUUUGGUUGGUGAAUUGAGUUGUGAUAUUAGAGUAUUUAGCUCUCUUAAGGUUUUGUUAGUUUUUGUAUGCACCUUUAGAGAGGUGUAAGUCCUGUGAUGCUUCUUAGUAUUUUCUUUUCAAGUUGCAUAAGCAUAAACAUCCAUGAUCAUGUUAUUUCAUAUAGAACUCCCAGCACAAGGACUGAAGAUUCAAGCUGAAGUGGUGACUGAAGAGGAAUCUACUCCAGUGGCUGCUGAUCAAGUGGAGGAGCCAUCUAACUGGGUAGCUUGUAGAGGGAUCUAGACCUCUUCACUGCAACAAAGGCAAGCCCCGGUGCAUGCAACCCCUUCCUUGUGUUUUUAAAUAAUUUUUGCACACUUUAAGUCUAGUGAAAUGUGCAUUAGGUUUAUAGGAGUUGCUUGAAACCCUUUGAUGCAUUGCCUUCCUUGAUAUCCAUACCUUUAUAGAUACUUCUGGUGAAGUAUCAAAAUAUGAUUUUCAAAAAUGCUUAGCCCUGCUUAGAUCUUGUGGAUAGAGGUUGUCUUUUGCAAUACUGCCUAGCUCAGGGGUUAUCCUGAGGAAAGAUGACUUCUACCUGCAAGAAUAUUUUCAUUGAGAGCGUGGUGGGAUCUUACUACAAAGUUCCCUUUGAUGCUCUUUUCAUCCUAGGAACAUAAACAAUCCUAAGGAUGAAAGUACUUAAAUCGGGACUUGGGCUAGGAAUAGGUGAUGUUCUACCCAGGUUAGCUAAGGAUUGGAUGCGUAUGUAGGCCUGUUGAUCAAGGACUAUCUUAACUAGCCACAUGCCCUGGAAAUGGGACAGGGUAAGCUUGAACCCGGCUAUUCCAUACAUGAAAAGACAAUCGCGCACUGGGAGUGGAGAGAUGGCGAGAGUGGCACGUACCCUCCUGGCAAAGGAUCGCCUAAAAGGGGUGGUGUGCUCUCGGGUGGCGUGGACCUGUUCAUGUAGUGGAGGAUCCGUGGGAACGGUUGACAUAUGCAAGGGUUAAGUGCUACAUAUGUCGUGUGGUUAGAGAUCCUCAGCUGAGUAAAUCGAUUCGGAUCGCCGUUAUAUCCCCGGAGAGUGGAGACUUGAUCUCCGACCUACAACCUAAGUCAGGAUGUAAACAUUAUGAAUAAAAAUGAUGUUGUAUUGAUGAGAUGGUGAAAUUAGACCAGAUGCAAAUAGAGUCUAUUAAUAUUUAAUCUGGCGUUAAAAUAUUGAAAGUAAGGACUCACUUUAGUAAGCUAUUUCUGCAAAAGUAUCUAAGUUGAUUCUUGCUAAAGCCUCUCCUUGAUUCCCAAAUCCAGCAUAUCCUUGAGAGUCUUUUCUUUAGUCGGGUAAGUCUUGCUGAGUAAUUCCAUACUCAGGGUUUUAUUCCCUGUUGUUUUUCAGGUUAUAGUUUUGUGCUGCUGUUGAUGGUGUUAAGUGCCGGUGGGCUCGGCCUUCUUAUAUAAGUAUACCCCAUCUUUAUCUUCUUAUUGAGGAUGGUCACUUGAGCUAGCAUAUAUUUUAAACUUAUAAAUAAUUUAUAACAGUUUAAAGUUAUUUCUUUGAAUCACCUUUGUAAUCACCCCGGUCAUGUACAAUGUAAAAUUUUUGUAACCUGUAAAAUUUGGUACUAAGAUUUCCGCUGCAAAAAUGUUGUGUGUGUGAUUUGUGUUACUUAAUCCCGCGGUUCUAGUUGUAAGUGGUUUAUCCGAGGUCCUUGGGGCACUCAGACGGAUCCUGUUAAGUUAUUUGGUGCACAUGCAUAGCCGUCUGAGGUCUUUGAGACAAGGACAGGUGCAUGUGGGCCCAAUAGCUUGGGAGGUUCUGCCACAGGUACCGGGGUCCUCGGUCACUUGCUCGUCUACUCGCAACAAUACAAACAAACAUGGUAUAGAAGAAAUUAACAUCACACCAAAUAGAGGAAUAUAAUGUAUGAUAAUAUUCUACGCACCAUAACGAGAUCGUGGGUUCGAGAAUCACUAAAUUUGGAUUUACGGUUAAAAAGUUAUGAUUUUACGAAGUUUCAAGUUUUUGGUACGGAAUAAACUACGUGGAUAAUUUUAAUCUAUGUUUCAUGAUAAAACAGGCUUAUUAGAUGAUAAAUAAUAUUAAUACAAAAUUAAUGCAACUGGAAUGGGUAAAAAAGGAGUUAAAAUGGUCAAGUUAUGAAUUUUGUAAACUCCUUAAAUUUGUUUUUUAUACUAAAAACAAUUUUCUCCAUUUAUUUUUAUAUAAAAUGUCUUUUGGACCGUGGGCACAAAUUCUAGGGAAUACCGGGGCACAACUGCAAAUUCUAGGGCUCGGGUGUAAUUUAUUUCCACUGAGAAAGGAUGGUAGGUUGAUUUUUAUUAAGCCUAGGGACUCUUUCGCAAAACGAUCGGGCCGAAGAGGUAUCCCACGCUACGAUCCCCACGAUCCUAUAUAGAUGGUUCAAAUUAAAUCAGCCCCGCACUGAAACGGUAUGCGCCCGUGGCCGUUAGAUCGGCAACCAACAGACCAGAUUUAAAACCCCAACGAUUGAUUCCCACGCGUAUGAUUCGAAUCGGACAGUUCAGUUUACUCUAACCGAAUCGGUACGCUCGGGGAGAUCCGGGCCGUUCAUCCCGAUCCUACUGUUCCGACCAUCACACAGACUCUUCUAAUCUUAACAGUUCAUCGCAAAAUCGAUGGCCCAGAACGCGCCUCUACCACGCUACCCCCACGGCGGCGGCGCCGCCACCAACCACGGCGGGGGAUGCCCGGAGUUGGGCGAACCGGCACCGCAGUGCUGCUAUUCUAUCGUGGUUUGGGGUUAUACAGAGAACAAGGUACGAUGAACACAAUGGUACGCUCCUUACCGCGAAUGGGUGCUUGGGUGGUGCUGGCCACGACGAUAGGUGGACCCGAGACUAUGCACGAUUGUCGGUGAGCAAUUGAAGCUGUCCCGAUGACCGGUCUCGCCCGGCCCCGCUACGAACGCCCGCUAGGAACAACGGCGAAGCUUCACUGCCCGACUCCGAGUCCUCAACAGAGACGAGGUCGAGGAUCGACUGCGGCGGCGUUCAGCCGAACCCUUCCCUCACUAGUGGCGAUGGAAUUGAGUGCGACAAAAGAAGGCAUGGGGAGUUAGGGUUUGACGCUGCGUUUUAUAGUCACCAGGAAGGUUGGUUGAGUUGCCAGCUGCGGUCCAUCGAGCGGCGAACUUGGCGAAAGUUUGUUACAGGGGAGGAGGAAGAUCUACAUCGCUCGCCUAACAUGUGGGUUUCGUGUGACAGCGUUCGACGACAUGAACACGCCCAUCGCAGCUAGUGAGACUGACAAGCAGGCCCAUGCGUAAGUGCAAGGGUGGCAUGGCACUUGCGCGGUGUGUGGCUGCGCAGGUGGUCCCACUUGUCGUCGUGCAACGCAGUGAAGGCGCAUGGCUGACCAGCGGACCCAGUGGUCGGCGUAGACAUCCAACUGGGCCACGUCGCGGGGAGAAAGUUGGGCCGCAGUAAGGACUUUGGGCCUGGCACG
rnacentral:lncRNA from 1 species